rnacentral:rRNA from 1 species
AACGAACGCUGGCGGCAUGCCUAACACAUGCAAGUCGAACGAGACCUUCGGGUCUAGUGGCGCACGGGUGCGUAACGCGUGGGAACCUGCCCUUAGGUUCGGAAUAACUCCCCGAAAGGGGUGCUAAUACCGGAUAAUGUCUUCGGACCAAAGAUUUAUCGCCUUUGGAUGGGCCCGCGUUGGAUUAGCUAGUUGGUAGGGUAAAAGCCUACCAAGGCGACGAUCCAUAGCUGGUCGGAGAGGAUGAUCAGCCACACUGGGACUGAGACACGGCCCAGACUCCUCCGGGGGGCGGAGGUGGGGAAUAUUGGACAUUGGGCGAAACCCUGACCCCGCACUGCCCGGUGGUUGAUGAAGGCUUUGGGGUUUUAAAGCUUUUUUCCCCGGGUUGAUAAUGCCCGUACCGGGAAAAUACGCCCCGGCUACCCCCGU